UGUCCCGAAACGAACGAAUUCCCGUCCGUCUUUUUUUUUUACUAUGUAAAUAAUUUUUCAAGUGUAAUAUGUAUUUUUUUAAUUCGUAGAAAAAACCUAUCGAAUAACAUUUUGACAAUCCGGGCAAUCAUAGAGUCAUUGGAACAACCUACUCCGGGUGAAAUAAUAAUCCAAAACUAUAAACUUAUUAAUGGUAUUUUAUAUAGGUUGGUCCAAAAAGCUACGGGGCCACUGAAUCUAUAGAUGGUGCCCAAAAGUAUGUGCAAAAGUCCAGCAGUAAAAUUUCAUGACCUAGGAGGACACUUCGCAGUCGAUCGCACAGUAGCCAAAAUAACUGGGUGACACUACUUUCCAAGAAUAAGUACCACGGGUUAAGAUACCACUAAAUACACUAAAUAUUUUUAAUCGUGAUAAGUACCUACCGAGGUAUUUUCGUACUUUAUACGUGUCUCCAAUUUUAUCUUGGUGGUACUCUAGUUAAGUAAUUUUUUGUUUUUCUAUAGGGUUUUCGUAAUAAUUGGGAAAAUGUAAGUACAUGCAUAAAAGAAACUUCGUUCCGAAUCGUUUUUCGUUAGCAAUGGUUUAUCGUUGCGUACAGAUAUAAAUUAAAUUUCCCUGUAUAGCCUACCUUCCCAACUUCUCAACUAGGUACAACAGCGGCCCACCCAUCGUGCGAAGUAUUUUCGUAUUUUUGUCAUGAUUAUAUACGUACUGGAUGAAAUAUAACAAGCGACCGUUUCGAGAGUACGCAUAUUUGCAAACGCGCCCGGCAACCGUCAACAUACUAUUAUAAUAUCAUUGUAACAUAUUAUAAUAGUUUAGUUUUUAUUAGAUUAUUUAAUUCAUUUUAAUAAAAAAAUUCUCAUUAAUAUAUCAAUCAACCACUAUCAACUUAUUAUUAAAGAUGAGCGACUGCCCACAAUACAAUGAAGAGGUACAAAUAUCAAGCAAGCCUAACACCGGCCAAUAUAACCAC